rnacentral:rRNA from 1 species
GCUUGUCUCAAAGAUUAAGCCAUGCAUGUCUAAGUGUAAAUAAGUCUAUACUGUGAAACUGCGAAUGGCUCAUUAAAUCAGUUAUCGUUUAUUUGAUGAUCUCUUACUACUUGGAUAACCGUAGUAAUUCUAGAGCUAAUACAUGCACAAAAUCCCGACUUACGAAGGGAUGUAUUUAUUAGAUACAAACCAACAUCGUGGUGAUUCAUAAUAACUUUGCGAAUCGUAUGCCUCACGGCGACGAUGAAUCAUUCAAAUUUCUGCCCUAUCAACUUUCGAUGGUAAGGUAUUGGCCUACCAUGGUUACCACGGGUAACGGGGAAUUAGGGUUCGGUUCCGGAGAGGGAGCCUGAGAAAUGGCUACCACAUCCAAGGAAGGCAGCAGG